CAGUAGCCGCGGGAAAACGUAGGGUGCGAGCGUUGUCCGGAAUUACUGGGCGUAAAGGGCGCGUAGGCGGCCUGUUAAGUCGGAUGUGAAAGCCCGGGGCUCAACCCCGGAACUGCAUCCGAGACUGGCAGGCUUGAGACCGGGAGAGGAGGGUGGAAUAUCCAGUGUAGAGGUGAAAUUCGUAGAUAUUGGAUGGAACACCGGUGGCGAAAGCGGCUCUCUGGCCCGGAUCUGACGCUGAGGCGCGAAAGCGUGGGGAGCAAACAGGAUUAGAUACCCCCGUAGUCCCUGUCUCUUAUAC
rnacentral:rRNA from 1 species